rnacentral:rRNA from 1 species
UACCUAUACGUUGCCUCGGCGGAUCAGCCCGCGCCCCGUAAAACGGGACGGCCCGCCCGAGGACCCGAUUUGAGACAAUUUAGUGGAACUUCUGAGUAAAACAAACAAAUAAAUCAAAACUUUCAACAACGGAUCUCUUGGAAGACCGUAGCUACUUCUACGCAGCAAAAUGCGAUAAGUAAUGUGAAUUGCAGAAUUCAGUGAAUCAUCGAAUCUUUGAACGCACAUUGCGCCCGCCAGUAUUCUGGCGGGCAUGCCUGUUCGAGCGUCAUUUCAACCCUCAAGCUCAGCUUGGUGAACCCUGAGCGCGUAACCCGCGUUCCCCAAAUCGAUUGGCGGUCACGUCGAGCUUCCAUAGCGUAGUAAUCAUACACCUCGUUACUGGUAAUCGUCGCGGCCACGCCGUAAAACCCCAACUUCUGAAUGUUGACCUCGGAUCAGGUAGGAAUACCCGCUGAACUUAAGCAUAUCAAUAAGCGGAGGAAGAAA